rnacentral:lncRNA from 1 species
AGCAACUCUUCAUGUGGGCUCUUCCCUUCCCCCUUUCAAAACUUGCAAUUAACCCUGGGUCCAUCUUGAAAAUCUUACUGUGAUUCAUGAAUAUAAAUAUUCAGUAUCUUUCACUGUAUCUAUGCCCACUAUUGAGCAGGUCUAUAUUUUCAGUCCUGUUUAUAUGCUAUUUACAAUGAUCGUCAAACACACUUAAGCAAUUCCUUUUUAUUCCUCAUGCAAUGGGAAGUAAGCAAACAUUCCAUGAGGUUCAUUUUAUGAAGCAAUAAAAGAAAGUUAGUCAUCAAAUAAAAUAAAAUGGUAAAAUCAAGAGACUUACUUAUUCAAACUGUUUACAAUCUUUCAAAUAAAAAUAAAAAUGAUUUUAUAGAAAACAG